AAUCAACGCUGGCGGCGUGCCUCAGACAUGCAAGUCGAACGAUUAAAGCUCUCUUCGGAGAGUGCAUAGAGUGGCGCACGGGUGAGUAACACGUAAGUAAUCUACCUUCGAGUGGGGAAUAACGUCCGGAAACGGACGCUAAUACCGCAUAAUGCAGCGGCAUCGUAAGAUGACAGUUGUUAAAGAUUUAUCGCUUGAAGAGGAGCUUGCGGCAGAUUAGCUAGUUGGUAAGGUAAUGGCUUACCAAGGCUACGAUCUGUAACCGGUCUUAGAGGACGGUCGGUCACACUGACACUGAAUAACGGGUCAGACUCCUACGGGAGGCAGCAGUCGGGAAUUUUGGGCAAUGGGCGAAAGCCUGACCCAGCAACGCCGCGUGAAGGAUGAAGUAUUUCGGUAUGUAAACUUCGAAAGAAUAGGAAGAAUAAAUGACGGUACUAUUUAUAAGGUCCGGCUAACUACGUGCCAGCAGCCGCGGUAAGUCUCGCGUGA
rnacentral:rRNA from 1 species